AUUGAACGCUGGCGGCAGGCUUAACACAUGCAAGUCGAGCGAGCGGCAGACGGGUGAGUAAUGUCUGGGAAACUGCCUGAUGGAGGGGGAUAACUACUGGAAACGGUAGCUAAUACCGCAUACCAUCAGAUGCGCCCAGAUGGGAUUAGCUAGUAGGUGGGGUAAUGGCUAACAUAGGCGACGAUGCCUAGCUGGUCUGAGAGGAUGACCAGCCACACUGGAACUGAGACACGGUCCAGACUCCUACGCGAGGCAGCAGUGGGGAAUAUUGCACAAUGGGCGCAAGCUUGAUGCAGCCAUGCCGAGUGUGUGAAGAAGGCCUUCGGGUUGUAAAGCACUUUCAGCGAGGAGGCGUUACUCGCAGAGGAAGUACCGGCUAACCCCGCGCCAGCAGCCGCGGUAAUUC
rnacentral:rRNA from 1 species